rnacentral:piRNA from 1 species
UCCCAGGGGAGAAGGUUCUAGUAGGAGAUC